AUUGAACGCUGGCGGCAGGCCUGACACAUGCAAGUCGAGCGGAUGACGGGAGCUUGCUCCUUGAUUCAGCGGCGGACGGGUGAGUAAUGCCUAGGAAUCUGCCUGGUAGUGGGGGACAACGUUUCGAAAGGAACGCUAAUACCGCAUACGUCCUACGGGAGAAAGCAGGGGACCUUCGGGCCUUGCGCUAUCAGAUGAGCCUAGGUCGGAUUAGCUAGUAGGUGAGGUAAUGGCUCACCUAGGCGACGAUCCGUAACUGGUCUGAGAGGAUGAUCAGUCACACUGGAACUGAGACACGGUCCAGACUCCUACGGGAGGCAGCAGUGGGGAAUAUUGGACAAUGGGCGAAAGCCUGAUCCAGCCAUGCCGCGUGUGUGAAGAAGGUCUUCGGAUUGUAAAGCACUUUAAGUUGGGAGGAAGGGCAGUAAGUUAAUACCUGCUGUUUUGACGUUACCGACAGAAUAAGCACCGGCUAACUCUGUGCCAGCAGCCGCCGCAG
rnacentral:rRNA from 1 species